rnacentral:rRNA from 1 species
UACAGAGGGUGCGAGCGUUGUCCGGAAUCACUGGGCGUAAAGGGCGCGUAGGUGGUGGCUUAAGCGUGCGGUGAAAGCCUGGAGCUCAACUCCAGAACUGCCAUUGAAACUGUUAGACUUGAGUACGAGAGAGGUGAGUGGAAUUCCCAGUGUAGAGGUGAAAUUCGUAGAUAUUGGGAAGAACACCAGUGGCGAAGGCGGCUCACUGGCUCGUAACUGACGCUCAGGCGCGACAGCGUGGGGAUCAAACAGG